UCCCAGGUGGUCCAGGGGUUAGGAUGCUAGACUCUCACUGCUGAGGUCCUGGGUUCAAACCCUGGUCAGGGAA
rnacentral:tRNA from 1 species